rnacentral:rRNA from 1 species
GCUGAACUUAAGCAUAUCAAUAAGCGGAGGAAC